GACGGAGGAUGCAAGUGUUAUCCGGAAUCACUGGGCGUAAAGCGUCUGUAGGUGGUUCGAAAAGUCCACUGUUAAAAAUUGAGGCUUAACUUCAAAGAUGCCGUGGAAACUUUCAAACUAGAGUAUGGUAGGGGUAGAGGGAAUUUCCAGUGGAGCGGUGAAAUGCGUAGAUAUUGGAAAGACCACCGAUGGCGAAGGCACUCUACUGGGCCACUACUGACACUGAGAGACGAAAGCGUGGGGAGCGAACAGG
rnacentral:rRNA from 1 species